CGCAUUUCCACUAGCUGAGUAACGGGUAUUAGAUAGUCGGGGAACUCGACUAUAGCGAUCUCUCUUGUUUUAGCUUGAUAUUGUGCAUAAGUACGUCUAGCCAAACUCUGUCGAAUGCUGGAUGAGAUGAAUGGAUAUGGAUGAGAACCAGGGAGCGAUCUGAUGAUAGCUCUGGCAGGCAUUCGGCUCUCAACAGGCUGCGAGGAAUGAUUUCGGUGAUUUGAUGGAGUCGAUCAGAUCAGGCAGUUUUUUGAGGUCCGUUGUCCAGUAGGUUUGACUUCCAGAAGAAGCAGGUCAAGUUUGUUGGCGGCUUUUAUUACAGUGUUCUAUAGCUGCUUUCCUUUUGGGUUCACGAGGCGCGAUCCCCAAUGUGUUUGCUUAGCGGUAUAGUCUCCUGCAGCUAGGAAAUGCUCUCCAAGGAUUGUGAUAAAAUUUGUAUGUUUAUAGAUGUGGCCUGCAGAUAAUUUUCAGAAAAUGAUGCUACUUAUUACAAGGAUCCAUGUCCCUCCAUGGGCUUUACCAUCGGGUUGAUAAGUACCGAAAAAAUGAUUUAUUUUAAAGUUGUAUUUGUUUGUAAGGUGUGAUUAGCGAUUAGGCGAGAUAAACAUUACGUCGAUGUGUUUUUCGUAUAGGAAUUGAGUUAGUUCAGGUUUGUUGUUUUUGUAGUUUGGGCUGAGGGCAGCCGUCUAGUUUUAAGGCAUUUCCAAACGGUUUUUUAGUGUUAAAGGGGACGGACCUUGAAGCAGUUAAUAGAAAAGAUGUGAAAAGAUUUCUGGGUUUGUGUUGGAUGGGGCAUUCCUUGUUGGGUCUUUAAUGUAGUGGUUUGUAGCUGGAGACAACUUUUCAACUCCUUGUAAAUUGCGCUACUGUGAUUCUGCGAUACAAAAGGAACUGUAGCUUGUAGAUUGGAUAAAUCUCGUUUCUUUUUAGGUGCUUGGUUUUAAAAAACCAACCUAAAAAAGUGGUCGCGGCUUCUUGACUUUGUUCAGAAUGUUAAAAACUGAUUUAGCGGAAAAUCCCUUUUCCUGUAGCGCCUCUGUAAUUUCUUCGGGGUUCAUCUCGGGCUCAAUGCCCUUCAAAACAACUUGUAGACCCCUGCUGCUUUUAAGCUGGUAGGUGUAAUUAUUUGUUUUUGUCGUUCAGAUACUUCGUGAGCUCUCUGUAGUUGUCCUUGUAUUUGUUUUGACUUUACUUUCGUGGAUUGUGCUCUUUACUAGUGGGGUUAUGUUUGUUUAUUUCAACGAGGUCAAACAAAUAAUUCACUAGAUCGCUGGAGCUUUUCUUACGGAUACAAAUUGGAGAAGGCUUUGUCUUUCCUUGCAAAUUCUGAUGGCUCUAAUGACAGUUUAAAGCUUAGAUAUUCAUGAAUAAUGGCCGCAUAUAUUUUUCUCUGAGGCGAGGCUGCCGCUCUAGUUUGUAGACUUCGAUAUAAAUGGCAAAUCAACAGAGUUUUCACUUGUAGGUGGUAAUCGGGUCUUUCUUGGCUCCCAGAAACGGCGAACGACCUCAUCCAGACUAUCAUCACUUUGAUUAUUUAACAGACAAUUGGCAGUCAAAGUAGAGGUAUUAAUUAUUAGUUUUUUGAAGAAGUGGAAGUCCAGGAACGAGUUUGAUCUGUCCGGCGCAUAACAAAUCACAAAAUCAAACAGAAAUCACCGUUCCAAGACUGGGGUGAACAGAUCCUUGGCUUUCAAGUCAACAGCCGUGCUAGCUGUAAUGUACAAUUAACCCCAAUCAGUGGUGUAUAAAAUAAUUGGUCAACUAGGAACCUAAUGAAAUCAAAAGGGGGAUUUGAUUAAACAAUUAUGACGACAAACAGAUUGUCGAUGACAAUCGAUCAUUUAAGUGCAUUAUCUCAAGAUGGGGUCCAAACAAACGCACCUUCAAUGAAUAAAAAUGCCAGUUAAGAGAUAUGGAUACCAUAUUUUGAUUUCCGUUCAAAAAAUUUCUUUAACCGGUCAAUGCUGUCGCACAGUUUAUCCAAUGCGAAACGAUGUUCUUACACAUUUUUUAAGAAUUUUAAUGACGAGUUCUGAAACCAGAUUGUUUUGGCACACAAUAUAACCGUUACUUAUAGAAUAAAAUUAUAUAUAAGAUUCGUUAAAAAGUACGUAGCAGGUAGAAGGAAGCAUUUCCGACACUAUAUUCUAGAUCAGGAUCAACAGCCGAGUCGAUCUGACUAUGUCCGUCGGUUCGUCUACCCCUUUGUCACCCAAUCCGUACAAACGAGCAAGGAGGUGGAGUGACACGGUUAGUUUCGUGACGGAUCGACAUAUUAUAUUAUUCUUAAUUCUUUUGGUUGAUUCCCCGACUCUCAACUUAUGGAUGUUUUGCAUUUUUUGAAACAAACUUAUGGGCGUGACAACAUUUGAAAACAGCUUCGAAAAAUUAACUAGCACCAAACAAUUAAAGUUUGAAUAAGUCCUCUACAUAUAUUGUAGGGUUUAAAGGGAGAUAAAAUACCUUUUUAGAUAAGGUAAACCAUUCACUUAUCAGGAAAUAAAAAUAGCUACAAUUGUUCUAUUAACUUUUACCUUAUUUAAAUUACUUUAUUAAGAACGACGAGAGUAGGAGAACAAAAAUAGCACCGAUUCAUGAAAAAUGGUUGAAUGUUUAAUUUUAGACUUUAAUUUUUAAAACUAACUAAUAAGAAAUGUUUGCGUAUCAAAACUAAUUUAAUUUAUCCGACCAAGGGUUUUCAAUGGGAUUUCGUUCUGGGGACUGUGUAGGCCACUUCAAAAUAGAAACCAAUUUAUUUUGGAACCAAUCCUUUCCUUUUGGUCCUUGUGGUCAUAGUCUCUUUGGAAGACCCAUUUUAGCGGCAUAUCGUAUUCGGCAAAGGGCAUCACCGUCUCCAAUAUAUCCACAUUCACAUUUUGAUCCAUGAUGGUUUUUAAACAAUGUUUGGCGCAA